rnacentral:rRNA from 1 species
UACGGGGGGGGGCAAGCGUUGUUCGGAAUUACUGGGCGUAAAGGGCGCGUAGGCGGCCUUCUAAGUCGGACGUGAAAUCCCUCGGCUUAACCGGGGAACUGCGUCUGAUACUGGAUGGCUUGAGUUCGGGAGAGGGAUGCGGAAUUCCAGGUGUAGCGGUGAAAUGCGUAGAUAUCUGGAGGAAUACCCGUGGCGAAGGCGGCCGACUGGGCCGGAUCCGACGCUGAUGCGCGAAAGCGUGGGGAGCAAACAGG